GAUCAACGCUGGCGGCGCACAUAAGACAUGCAAGUUGAACGGACUUAAUCGAAAUAUUUAUAUUUUGAAGCGGUUAGUGGCGGACUGGUGAGUAACGCGUAAGGAACCUGCCUAUUAGAGGGGAAUAACAGUGAGGAAUCAUUGCUAAUACCGCAUAUGCCAUAGAUAUCACAUGAUAACAGUGGGAAAGGAGCAAUCCGCUAAUAGAUGGCCUUGCGUCUGAUUAGAUAGUUGGUGGGGUAACGGCCUACCAAGUCGACGAUCAGUAGCCGGACUGAGAGGUUGAACGGCCACAUUGGGACUGAGAUACGGCCCAGACUCCUACGGGAGGCAGCAGUCGGGAAUAUUGCGCAAUGGAGGAAACUCUGACGCAGUGACGCCGCGUAUAGGAAGAAGGUUUUCGGAUUGUAAACUAUUGUCGUUAGGGAAGAGAAAGGACAGUACCUAAGGAGGAAGCUCCGGCUAACUACGUG
rnacentral:rRNA from 1 species